UUUUUUUUUUUUUUUUGUCUUUUUGCCUUUUUCUAGGGCCGCUCCCGCAGCAUAUGGAGGUUCCCAGGCUAGGGGUCAAAUCGGACCUGUAGCCCCCUGCCUACACCAGAGCCACAGCAACGCGGGAUCUGAGCCGCGUCUGUGACCUACACCACAGCUCACGGCAAUGCCGGAUCCUUAACCCACUGAGCAAGGGCAGGGAUCGAACCCGCAACCUCAUGGUUCCUGGUCGGAUAGGUUAACCACUGUACCAUGACGACGGGAACUCCUGUCACAUUUUUAAUUAAUUCCAUCAAAUGUCUCCUAAUCAGAAGCAUUCUACCCAGAUUCUUCACCUCUAACAACAUUCCCCCAAUAACAGCCCCACACAGAACUAUGCCUCACUACCUAAAAUGAACAUCCCUCCUUAUAACCGUCACGAGCUUUCUUCUAGCAUUUUAUGACUAUGAAGAAAAUUAUGACAAAGGCAUGGGCUGUGACAAUUACAUGACAAAUCUGAGCAUCACUGAGCAAGGGCCCAGGCUGACCAAGUUCAGCACGAAUUAGGAGGCUCAGAGCGGUGCCUACUCUUCUGGCCCAGGUACCAAAUAGUGACCGGAUCGGGAGAUAGAGAAUGUUAUUCCUUGUCUAUUCUUUUCAAGUUCAGCUCAGGCUGAUACUAAAAUCCUCCCUGGGUGCGUCUGCGGGUGAAUAGAUAAAUGAAAGGUGGUCCAUCUUCCACAAUGGGUGAAAAGGAAUGAAGCACUUCCUCAAAAAACUCAAAACAGAACUGCCGUAGGAUGCCGCAGUUCCACUCCUGCGUAUCUAUCUGAAGAAAACGAACACACUAAUUUGAAAAGACACGUGUAUCCUGAAGUUCACAGCCACAGUAUUUACAAUGCCAGGAUAUGGACACGCCCUAAGUGUCCAUCCACAGAUGCUUGGAUAAGAUCUGGGUGCACAGACACACUCGACAUAAAGUAUUCCGCCACAAAAAGAUGAAAACUUGCCAUUUGCAGCAACAUGGGUAGAUGUAGAGGGUGGUUUGUUUAGUGAAGUAAGUCAGGCAGAGGAAGAUAAAUACUGUAUGCAAUCACUUACACAUGGAAUCUAAAAGUUAAAACAAAUCCGUGAACAUACAAACAAAACUGACUCAGAUAUAGAGAGCAAACUAGUGGUUAGCAGUGGGGAGAGGGAAGGGGGGGAGCAAGAUUAGGGGAGGGGAUUAGGAGACAGACUACCAUGGAUAAAAUGAGCCAUAAGGACAUAUUGUUCAGCACAGGGAAUAUAGCCAAUAUUUUAUAAUAACUACAAAAUGGAAUAUAAACUUUAAAACUGUGACUCACUAUGUUGUAUACCUGAAACAUAAAAUACGGUACAUCAGGUAUAUCUCAAUUUAAAAAAUGAUAUUCUAAGAGUUCCCAUUGUGGCGCAGUCGAAACGAAUCCAACUAAGAACCAUCAGGUUGCGGGUUCGAUCCCCGGCCUCGCUCAUUGGGUUAAGGACCUGGCGUUGCCGUGAGCUGUGGUGUAGGUUGCAGAUGCAGCUUAAAUCCUGCGUUGCUAGGCCAGCAGCUGUAGCUCCAAUUCAACACCAAGCCCAGGAACCUCUAUAUGCCAUGAGGGCAGCCCUAAAAAGCAAAAAAAAAAAAAAAAUUAAUUUAAUUUAAAAAAUGACAUUCUAAUUGAGUCUACAGCAUAGACGAACCCUGAAGACAUUAUGCUACGUAAAAGAGAACACCACAAAAGGCCAAAAGUGGAAUUUGUAAUUCCACUUAUAUGAAAUGCCCAGAAUAGGCAGAUCUGGAAAGAAGACUAGUGGUUUCCAAGGGCUGAGAGACAGAUUAACUCCUAUUGGGUGUGGGGUUUCUUUCGGGGGUGAUGAAAUGCUCUAGAAUGAGAUAGUGGUGAUGAUCACAUAGCUCUGAAUAUACUAAAACUUCUGAAUUGCACAUUAUUAAAAGCCACCAUAAAAGAGGUCCAGGUACGUACUGAGACACCAGGAAGAGGAUGCUUUGGUGAACACCCCCACCUGGCUGGUGUCCUCGGAUGUCUUGAUUCUAAGACAGAGGAGGUUGAGAAGACCCCCACCCAUGCCCGACAAACACCACACUCAUUAGAGUGGAAACUCUGUGAAUGGGUGGACUUGCCAGUUGAUCGCUGUUGAGACCCUGCUGCCUAGAACCCACCCCAUCACACACACGUUGCAGACACUCGGUGGAUACUUGCUGAAUCAACAAAUGAAUAGAUGAAUGAAACCGCACAUCUGGGGCCUGGAGUGUAUCCAGGGAAUGACCUCCAUGUGUCAGUUAGUUUGGGCUGCGGUGGGGCUGCCGAGUGUCCAGGUGACCGCACACGGUCACCCGCAGUAACUGAGGUCUGGCCGCAGACAAGCAGGCUGAGCCCAGGCUGUCCGUGUCUUUCCCUCUCUCACCACUAGAGGGCAGGUGCAUCCCAUGGAUUCCGCCAAAGGGGUCGGCUCGGCUCCCUCGCCAAAGGCACCUCAGGCAACCAGGCGGGAACAGACCAGAUCAGGGCUCUGCCAAGAUCCCUUCUAACUCAGAGGUGCCAGGUGGAGAAAGGCCUGUGGCCUCUCUCUGGUUGUGAAGGGUGAAACAGGAGCUCAGGUCCUCUGCUGCCUCUGCUGUGGGGAUCCCCAGAUUAAGGGCUCCCAGCCUCUCUGUGUUCUGAACCAGGCCACCUUCUGGGGAGACAAGCUUGGGGGUGCGCCUUCCCGCACCCUCUCCCUGAAGUGAAGAGGCCAGGAAACUGCUGACAGGAAGAAGCAGGUCUGAGGAGUUGGGGGAGGGAGGGGGGGGGGUUGCCCAAGGCUAUGUUUGGGAUAAAGGUCAGUCAUGGCCAGGCUGUCCUGGGGGCUUGGAAAUAUGCCUCAUCUCAGAUGAUCUUCAAGGUCCUUCAAGAGGUGGGAAUUAUUCCAAGUUUGCCGAUGAAGAGACUGAGGGUCAGAGUGGUUAGCUUGCCCAAGACCCUAAACUGCAUACCUGGGGAGUUCCCGUCGUGGCGCAGUGGUUAACGAAUCCGACUAGGAACCAUGAGGUUGCGGGUUUGGUCCCUGCCCU
rnacentral:lncRNA from 1 species